rnacentral:lncRNA from 12 species
AUGUUUCAGAAAAUGAACUUAGUUUCUGUUUGCCUUCCUUGUGCCUACUUCCAACUUUCUCAGAGGCGCUUUGCUCUUCAAACAUUUUUUAGUCCCUCGUGUGUUUGUCUACUCUUCUGUGAAAGGAGUCAGGUUUGCCCAGGAACUUCACUGAGUAAAGUUUUAAAAGUCUGGAUUAUGAGGCAACUCUGGUGGUUCUUAAUGGGAAGAAAAGAAGAUUCAGAGUGUGCAGAGAUCAGAAUUGUCAUGGGAACAAACCUGUCUGAAGAGGAACAGGGUGGAAGAUCCAUGGGUACAGCUAUUAAGUGUUCUGUAUGUCUUAGUAAUAAGCCCUCUGCCUCCUUUUUCCUGUAUUCUUUCUUUCUUUCUUUCUCUCUUUCUUUCUUUCUUUCUUUCUUUCUUUCUUUCUUUCUUUCUUUCUUUCUUUCUUUCCUUCCUUCCUUCCUUCCUUCCUUCCUUCCUUCCUUCUUUCUUUCUUUCUUUCCUUUCUUUCUUUCUCUUUCUCUUUCUUUCUUUUUUAUAUAUAUAGAGAGAGUGCGAGGGAGAGUGGAGGGGAGGGGCAGAGGGAAAGAGAGAAUCAUAAACAGGAUCAGGGCUCAGUGUGGAGCCUGA